CUGGAGGACGACAUCACUCCACCAACCAGGAUCCUCACCAGGAAUCUGGAGGACUGAUGGAGAAGCCGUACAUCUAGAAGGCAAUUCCUGAGGACAACCAGAACUCUACCAUCAAGGAUUCCUCACACACCUGAGCUGAACCCGCCCUGAUCCUGACAUCCUGCUGGUCCC